rnacentral:rRNA from 1 species
GAAACUAAGCGAGCUACUCUAAAGCAACUUCACAGAACCAACCCGUCCCUGUAGCAAAAGGGUGGGAAGACUUUAAAGUAGAGGUGACACGCCUACCGAGCCUAGAGAUAGCUGGUUAUUCAGGAAAAGGAUUUAAGUCCAUUUUUAAGUUUUUUUAGUUUAACAAAACAUUUGAUAAGCUUAAAAACCAUUCAAACAAGGGACAGCCUGUUUGAAAAAGGGCACAGCCUACAGCUCAGGGUAAUGAC